UGUCCGGAUUUAUUGGGCGUAAAGAGCGUGUAGGCGGUUAUGCAGGUCCGCUGUGAAAACUGGAGGCUUAACCUCCAGACGUCGGUGGAAACCGUAUGACUAGAGUCCGGAAGAGGAGAGUGGAAUUCCUGGUGUAGCGGUGAAAUGCGCAGAUAUCAGGAAGAACACCCGUGGCGAAGGCGGCUCUCUGGGACGGUACUGACGCUGAGACGCGAAAGCGUGGGGAGCGAACAGG
rnacentral:rRNA from 1 species